GCCAGCAUUGCAUAGUGGUUUGAGUAUUGGACUAGGACUCUGGUGACCAGGGUUCGAUUCCCUAUUCAGCA